rnacentral:pre_miRNA from 12 species
GAUUUGCAACUAACCUCAGCUAUUGUUGUGUGGAAGACUAGUGAUUUUGUUGUUCUUUAAUUGAGUAACAAGGAAUCACUAAUCAUCCUACAAAGAUGGCUGCAUGCUUCAAGGACAGCU